rnacentral:sRNA from 1 species
UCUUUUUCCGGGACAACAUGGCGCCGUCCACGCCGCUCUUGACAGUCCGAGGAUCAGAAGGACUGUACAUGGUGAAUGGACCACCACAUUUUACAGAAAGCACAGUGUUUCCAAGAGAAUCUGGGAAGAAUUGCAAAGUCUAUACCUUUAGUAAGGAUGGGACCUUGUUUGCCUGGGGCAAUGGAGAAAAAGUAAAUAUUAUCAGUGUCACUAACAAGGGACUACUGCACUCCUUCGACCUCCCAAAGGCAGUUUGCCUUGAAUUCUCACCCAAAAAUACUAUCCUGGCAACGUGGCAGCCUUAUACUACUUCUAAAGAUGGCACAGCUGGGAUUCCCAACCUACAACUUUAUGAUGUGAAAACUGGGACAUGUUUGAAAUCUUUCAUCCAGAAAAAAAUGCAAAAUUGGUGUCCAUCCUGGUCAGAAGAUGAAACUCUCUGUGCCCGCAAUGUUAACAAUGAAGUUCACUUCUUUGAAAACAACAAUUUUAGUAUGGAAAGAUUUAUGACAUAAUUUUAUUACUUACUGUAAUCGUACACAGUUUUCAUUAACUUUUAUGACAUCAUAGGGUUUUCCUAAAUACUGUUAAUUUAUUAAUCAAUAAUUACUGUUACAUUCAUUUGCAUAAUUCUUUAUAAGUCUGAAUUCAGUGAAAAUCUGUAACACAAAGGUUUUCUUUUACAGUAACUUUUUAUUAUCUGGUAAUUGCUAUUAAGACAUUUGAAUAUCUUCCUGAAUUUAAUUGCUAUUGAAAUUCUGUGACACAAAUUUUUUAGAUAUUUUAUCGUGUAGAAUUUUAAACUUCAGACACCUAGUUCUAGUAACCAUCAGCUUGUGGCCAAUCUUAUCUCAUCCAUACAUCUCUCCAGCUACCAUCUCUCUUACUAAGUGAAAGCAAAUCCCAGAUAUGGUAUACUUUUAUAUACUUGUUAAAUAUGUAAUUGUAAAUAUUUCAGGGUAGAUUUCUGAAGAUUGGGGCCUUUCAUUUUUUAAACUUAGCCACAACA